GAUGAACGCUGGCGGCGUGCCUAAUACAUGCAAGUCGAGCGAACAGACGAGGCGCUUGCUCCUCUGACGUUAGCGGCGGACGGGUGAGUAACACGUGGAUACCCUACCUAUAAGACUGGGAUCACUUCGGGAAACCGGAUCUAAUACCGGAUAAUAUAUUGAACCGCAUGGUUCAAUAGUGAAAGACGGUUUUGCUGUCACUUAUAGAUGGUUCCGCGCCGCAUUAGCUAGUUGGUAAGGUAACGGCUUACCAAGGCUACGAUGCGUAGCCGACCUGAGAGGGUGAUCGGCCACACUGGAACUGAGACACGGUCCAGACUCCUACGGGAGGCAGCAGUAGGGAAUCUUCGGCAAUGGGCGAAAGCCUGACGGAGCAACGCCGCGUGAGUGAUGAAGGUCUUCGGAUCGUAAAGCUCUGUUAUUAGGGAAGAACAGAUGUGUAAGUAACUAUGCACGUCUUGACGGUACCUAAUCAGAAAGCCACGGCUAACUACGUG
rnacentral:rRNA from 1 species